rnacentral:rRNA from 1 species
UACGUAGGGUGCGAGCGUUGUCCGGAAUUACUGGGCGUAAAGAGCUCGUAGGUGGUUUGUCGCGUUGUUCGUGAAAACUCACAGCUUAACUGUGGGCGUGCGGGCGAUACGGGCAGACUGGAGUACUGCAGGGAGACUGGAAUUCCUGGUGUAGCGGUGGAAUGCGCAGAUAUCAGGAGGAACACCGGUGGCGAAGGCGGUCACUGGCCGCAACUGACGCUGAGGAGCGAAAGCAUGGGAGCGAACAGG